rnacentral:rRNA from 1 species
UACAGAGGUCCCAAGCGUUGUUCGGAUUCACUGGGCGUAAAGGGUGCGUAGGUGGUUGGGUAAGUUUGAUGUGAAAUCUCCGGGCUUAACCCGGAAACUGCAUUGAAUACUAUCUGGCUAGAGGGUUGGAGGGGGGACUGGAAUACUUGGUGUAGCAGUGAAAUGCGUAGAUAUCAAGUGGAACACCAGUGGCGAAGGCGAGUCCCUGGACAACUCCUGACACUGAGGCACGAAAGCUAGGGGAGCAAACGGG